rnacentral:rRNA from 1 species
UACGUAGGGGGCGAGCGUUGUCCGGAUUCAUUGGGCGUAAAGAGCGUGUAGGCGGUCAGGUAGGUCCGUUGUGAAAACUCGAGGCUCAACCUCGAGACGCCGAUGGAAACCAUCUGACUAGAGUCCGGAAGAGGAGAGUGGAAUUCCUGGUGUAGCGGUGAAAUGCGCAGAUAUCAGGAGGAACACCGAUUGCGAAGGCAGCUCGCUGGAACGUUACUGACGCUGAGACGCGAAAGCGUGGGGAGCAAACAGG